rnacentral:rRNA from 1 species
UACGUAGGGACCAAGCGUUGUUCGGAUUUACUGGGCGUAAAGCGUGCGCAGGCGGUUAUGUAAGACAGUUGUGAAAUCCCCGGGCUCAACCUGGGAACUGCAUCUGUGACUGCAUAGCUAGAGUACGGUAGAGGGGGAUGGAAUUCCGCGUGUAGCAGUGAAAUGCGUAGAUAUGCGGAGGAACACCGAUGGCGAAGGCAAUCCCCUGGACCUGUACUGACGCUCAUGCACGAAAGCGUGGGGAGCAAACAGG